rnacentral:rRNA from 1 species
GACGAACGCUGGCGGCGUGCUUAACACAUGCAAGUCGAACGGUAAGGCCCUUCGGGGUACACGAGUGGCGAACGGGUGAGUAACACGUGGGUGAUCUGCCCUGCACUUCGGGAUAAGCCUGGGAAACUGGGUCUAAUACCGGAUAGGACUCCGGACUGCAUGGUCUGGGGUGGAAAGCUUUUGCGGUGUGGGAUGGGCCCGCGGCCUAUCAGCUUGUUGGUGGGGUGAUGGCCUACCAAGGCAACGACGGGUAGCCGGCCUGAGAGGGUGUCCGGCCACACUGGGACUGAGAUACGGCCCAGACUCCUACGGGAGGCAGCAGUGGGGAAUAUUGCACAAUGGGCGCAAGCCUGAUGCAGCGACGCCGCGUGGGGGAUGACGGCCUUCGGGUUGUAAACCUCUUUCAGCACUGACGAAGCGCAAGUGACGGUAUGUGCAGAAGAAGGACCGGCCAACUACGUGCCAGCCGCCGCCGUAA